AUUUCUUCUUCCUCUUUUCUCUCUUCUCCUCUCCCUGCGACUGAAACUUAGAGGAACAAAAAUGAAAAUUUUCUUGCAUGAUUGAGCUUCAUAGACUUACAGUUACAUGGAGCUGCAAAUGUUGAUUUGGGGUAGUUGGUUUCAUGGACGUGAUUGAGAAAUUCUCUUGUUGCUUUUCAAAUUGAAGCUGCUUGAAGAAAUCAUUCCCUUUACUCAACUGAAAAAGUGAUUUUUAUAAAUCAAUGGAUGAUAGUAAAGUAUGGGAUGAUGGUGACUUAUGUCAAUUGCAUAAUAUCAAUUCUAUUGUGGGUUCUGAUUUCAGAACUAGGAAUCCUCAUGUUAAGGUAAUUCUAUUGUGGGUUCUGAUUUCAGAACUAGGAAUCCUCAUGUUAAGGUUUGGUGCUUUUUCCCCAAAUUUGUUCUUACUAUCAAAUUAAUGGUUAGUGCAUGUAUGGGCAUCUCUUGAUAUAGAUCUCUUGCUGUGUUAGUUUACUGAAUUUUAUUUGGGGUAGAUGAUGGUACUCUAGUUUGAUGUCUAUAACCAUCAUUUUGAUUUAAUUAAGAUAAAUCUCUCUACAUUUAUGGAAAUGCAAUGCUCUUUGCCAGUCUGGUCCUUUUAAGUUUCAAGGGAAUCAAAUAAUACACCAUAAUGUUUGAUAAAAUGCUUGAAAUAGGAGAUAAAGGGAUAACAGGUUCUUAUUUCUUUAUGUAUACCUUAGUAAUGGUAUGGGUAUUAGUAGGAUAUUGUUUUAAAUGUAUUUCAAAAAUAAACCUUGAUUAGAUUAACUGUUUUGAAAAGAAAACUAAAACAUUUGCACGGGUACUGUUGGAUAACUUGUUUGUUAGUACCACUUUCGUAACUUGGAUGUCGUAUUAAACUCACGUUCAAUCCAAAUGAUUCUAGGCAUUAGUAAAGUUGAAAGAGAAAAUAGAUUUAUAGCCUUUGAUAUCAUAUGCUAGAUGAACUUAGAUAUUACAUGCAUGUAUGUGUAGCUAUGGUGUGGGAUUAUGCGAUAUUUAAUCUUAAAUGAGUCUAGAGUAAAAGGUGUAUGGUAAAUAUAGUAGUAGUUAGUGGUAGAUCAAUGACUGAGUGGACAACUAUUUUUAGUGAUUAGUUGAGUGUACAUAGAGUGUUUGUUGAAAUGUUGUAUGACAAUUAGCCUGUCAGACUUGGUUGUCUGCUGUUUGACCCUCCUAGGAUUUUGCACUAGCUUCGCACUAAUUCUGAAGAGAGGUGGUUCUGGUUAGGGCUCUUGGCUACAAACCAGGUAGGCUCUUCUUGUUUCUCUUAGCAUUUUUCUCUGUUCACUAUUUUAUUGGCGGCUCUAACGGGAUAUUAAGAGUCCCGUUUUGAACUAUACGUAGUGAGAUAUGACCUGAAAUGUAGGUGCGUCGAAGCUGAAAUUCUGCGGAAUUGCUUUUUCAAAAUGAACUAUGUGCAGAUUUUUAAACGAUUUUUCUUACAAAAAUUUUAAUUACAUUUUUACUAUGAAAGAGGAAUGUUUUUAUUUUCCAAAUUGAUACCAUUUGUCGACUUCCGAUCUCUAAUGAAGUCUAUAUAAAUUUCCAAUUGUAAGUGGUUACGAAUACAGUUUUCGGCGCUUAAAGUUCAUUAUACUGAAUCACUCAUUCGUAAAACAUCGGAUGGAAUGCGACUAGAUACAGCUUAUUUUCUUCUUUCAUUUUAAGAUCAAUUGCUUAAUUAUUUAAUAUAAUAUAUGCAAUGGGGAGAACUAAACCGUUGGUACUAAUAUACCUUAGCUCUUUAUUAUUGAGUGUACUUCAUAGCACCAUGCCUUAGUUGUUAUGCUACUCCGUGCAGGUGUCACUGAAAAUCCCAAGGGUAGUCUGUUGAUUUCUCUUAACGUUAGUUUGAAAAAUGAUGUGAAAAUACUUGCUUUGGUAAUGAAAUACUAGAUGCACAUCCACUGCCAGAAAGAGGUAUCACAUUGAGAAUAUUUUGGAAGUUGGAAUUUCAUUAUCUAUAAUUGAAUGGUUUUGACCAACUACUUUAUUUUACCAACAAUUCCUUCGUGCACUUAUUAAUGGCUAAUUAUGCUUUAGUGUGCAAUGAAUUCUGUUUCACUCGUGGAUGAACUCGUGAAGUGGUGGAUGAUUACUAUGCAUUUGAGUUUGUUAUCUAUGAUCAAAGAGUCCUAAUGGUCAUUUUUGUAGCUGGGAAUGUUAUGCUAUUUUGGUAUAUUGCCGGGUGAUCGGAUACAGAUGGUUGAAUACUUUCAUUAAUCUGACACGACUCUUUUAUCACUAGAUUUAUUCUCUAACAAAGGCGGUAGUGAUGGUGGUGUCUUAUAUGAGUGAAGUUGACAUAAAAUUUGUAAGGGAAGGAGAUAUUUCCAACUUGAGUUCUAAUUGGUUUCUGGCAGUAUUGAUUAUAGGUGCCCCAUAAUGUUUACCGAAAUAUACUAAUCCUUUUAUUUAGUCUUGACCUUGCAGUCAAUAAUUGGCAUGAAUACUCGAUACUGGUAAGUGAAAAUAUCUUGGUCUCUGCUAUUUAAACAGUCGUUUUUCAUUAGAAUCUGAUGCAAGGGUUAAUUCUAUGAGUUUUACAUUGUGCUCAGUACUGCAUUUAUUAUGGUGUCUACUGCGAAGUUUCCUUUGUCCUCCACAUACUGGCAAGUCUUAAUCCAUGUGUUACUUACUGUUUGGACCUCGCUCUACAUUUUCAGCCGCUAUAUGAGUGUUGUUGAUGUCGCCAGGUGGUUAUUUAAUGUUUGAGCCAACAGUUACAGCUUAUAUGGACUAUAAUAUUGGAUUAGCUGCCUUAAGCUAUGCAUAGGUGUUAUCAUCAAGCAUUCUAAAUUACAUUUCAUUUAGAGUGUAAAGUUAAUGUGUUAUGUGAAGUGACUUGCAUUCCUCUUAAGCAUUAUACUUUGUUAUUGAAUGAAUUGGUAGUUGUUUUCUUUACA